rnacentral:rRNA from 1 species
CCUACGGGUGGCAGCAGUGGGGAAUAUUGGACAAUGGGCGAAAGCCUGAUCCAGCCAUGCCGCGUGUGUGAAGAAGGCCUUCGGGUUGUAAAGCACUUUCAGUGGGGAAGAAAGCCUUGGGGCUAAUACCCUCGAGGAAGGACAUCACCCACAGAAGAAGCACCGGCUAACUCCGUGCCAGCAGCCGCGGUAAUACGGAGGGUGCGAGCGUUAAUCGGAAUUACUGGGCGUAAAGCGCGCGUAGGCGGUCUGAUAAGCCGGUUGUGAAAGCCCCGGGCUCAACCUGGGAACGGCAUCCGGAACUGUCAGGAUAGAGUGCAGGAGAGGAAGGUAGAAUUCCCGGUGUAGCGGUGAAAUGCGUAGAGAUCGGGAGGAAUACCAGUGGCGAAGGCGGCCUUCUGGACUGACACUGACGCUGAGGUGCGAAAGCGUGGGUAGCAAACAGGAUUAGAUACCCUGGUAGUC